rnacentral:rRNA from 1 species
CAGCCGCCGCGGUAAUACGGAGGGUGCAAGCGUUAAUCGGAAUUACUGGGCGUAAAGCGCACGCAGGCGGUCUGUCAAGUCGGAUGUGAAAUCCCCGGGCUCAACCUGGGAACUGCAUUCGAAACUGGCAGGCUAGAGUCUUGUAGAGGGGGGUAGAAUUCCAGGUGUAGCGGUGAAAUGCGUAGAGAUCUGGAGGAAUACCGGUGGCGAAGGCGGCCCCCUGGACAAAGACUGACGCUCAGGUGCGAAAGCGUGGGGAGCAAACAGGAUUAGAUACCCCUGUAGUCCCUGUCUCUUAUAA